rnacentral:tRNA from 1 species
UGGCUCAGACGGUAAAGCAUCCGUCUGCAAUGCGGGAGACCCAGGUUCGAUUCCUGG